rnacentral:rRNA from 1 species
AAACAAAACUUUCAACAACGGAUCUCUUGGCUCCCACAUCGAUGAAGAACGCAGCGAAAUGCGAUAAGUAAUGUGAAUUGCAGAAUCAGUGAAUCAUCGAGUCUUUGAACGCACCUUGCGCCCUUUGGUAUUCCGAAGGGCAUGCCUGUUUGAGUGUCAUGA